rnacentral:siRNA from 1 species
UUCAGUGACUGUUUUUGGUGU